rnacentral:tRNA from 1 species
UGUCAGAAGUGGGAUUUGAACCCACGCCCACAUUAGUGGACCAGAACACUCAAUCCCGCUACGGGACAAGAUUUACUCUUGAGUCUGGCGCCUUAGACCACUCGGCCAUCCUGAA